GAUGAACGCUGGCGGCGUGCCUAAUACAUGCAAGUCGAGCGAACGGACGAGAAGCUUGCUUCUCUGAUGUUAGCGGCGGACGGGUGAGUAACACGUGGAUAACCUACCUAUAAGACUGGGAUAACUUCGGGAAACCGGAGCUAAUACCGGAUAAUAUUUUGAACCGCAUGGUUCAAAAGUGAAAGACGGUCUUGCUGUCACUUAUAGAUGGAUCCGCGCUGCAUUAGCUAGUUGGUAAGGUAACGGCUUACCAAGGCAACGAUGCAUAGCCGACCUGAGAGGGUGAUCGGCCACACUGGAACGGAGACACGGUCCAGACUCCUACGGGAGGCAGCAGUAGGGAAUCUUCCGCAAUGGGCGAAAGCCUGACGGAGCAACGCCGCGUGAGUGAUGAAGGUCUUCGGAUCGUAAAACUCUGUUAUUGGGGAAGAACAUAUGUGUAAGUAACUGUGCACAUCUUGACGGUACCUAAUCAGAAAGCCACGGCUAACUACGUG
rnacentral:rRNA from 1 species